CCUACGGGAGGCAGCAGUGGGGAAUAUUGGACAAUGGGCGAAAGCCUGAUCCAGCCAUGCCGCGUGUGUGAAGAAGGCCUUCGGGUUGUAAAGCACUUUCAGUGGGGAAGAAAGCCUUGGGGCUAAUACCCUCGAGGAAGGACAUCACCCACAGAAGAAGCACCGGCUAACUCCGUGCCAGCAGCCGCGGUAAUACGGAGGGUGCGAGCGUUAAUCGGAAUUACUGGGCGUAAAGCGCGCGUAGGCGGUCUGAUAAGCCGGUUGUGAAAGCCCCGGGCUCAACCUGGGAACGGCAUCCGGAACUGUCAGGCUAGAGUGCAGGAGAGGAAGGUAGAAUUCCCGGUGUAGCGGUGACAUGCGUAGAGAUCGGGAGGAAUACCAGUGGCGAAGGCGGCCUUCUGGACUGACACUGACGCUGAGGUGCGAAAGCGUGGGUAGCAAACAGGAUUAGAUACCCAGUAGUC
rnacentral:rRNA from 1 species